rfam:Metarhizium majus ARSEF 297 Scaffold_76, whole genome shotgun sequence.
UCCGGUAUGGUGUAGUGGCUAACAUCGCUCGCUCUCAAGUAUCAUUAUAAAGUAUUUGUUACCGAGCAGCCCUGGGUUCGAUUCCCAGUACCGGAG